UGGGCGGCGAGUGUGCCCAGGGGCGCGCGCGAGUGCCCGCCUGCCUGGAGACCGAGGCGCGGGCGUGGAGGGCGGCGGAGGCUCCGAGGGAUUUAGGUAUUCGUGUCCACCUCAGAGCCUGCUCCCUCUGAAGUCUCCUGUGUUCUUCUAACAACCCUAGGAAUUCUUCAGCCCGGAGGCUGUGUACUCAACAGGCAGACCGCUCAGUCUGUGUAUGUUGUCUGAAUUUCUGGAAUCUACACCUGGUACCUCUCCACUGGCACCCACAAUUUAAGAAAGUGAAUAGAAGCUUUCAAGGAGGAACAUGGCACACCAGGAUCAGGAGCUACUGUAGACAUUUCCAUCUAUUUUGGGGUUCUGUUUGAUUUGAGAAACUGUGAUUGCUCAGGUCAACAUACUUUUUUCCCCUCAUUUUUGAACUGGCUCUCUUUGCAGAACAACCUUUGUUUCUUUCCCUUUUUGAUUUUUUACCCACUCAUGUGUGUUAGGAUCUACAUACAUGAAUAUUUGAAGUUUAAACUUCUGUUUGCAAGCAUGGUAGAACCAUUUAAUGCUGUGUGUGUGUUUGCAUGUGUGCACUCAGUUGUGUCUGACUCUUUGCGACCCCAUGGACUGUAGCCCGUCAGGCUCUUCUGUCCAUGGGAUUUUCCAGGCAAGAAUACUGGAGUGGGUUGCCAUUUCCUUCUCCAGGGGAUCUUCUCCACCCAGGGAUCGAACACGUGUCUCUUGCGUGUCUGGCAUUGGUAGGCGGAUUCUUUGCCACUGUGUCACCUACUCUUCCUAAUUAGCUCUCAGGCAGAUGUUGGACUUUCUGAAAUAUACAGCACAGAAUGUCUUCCUUGGAAAGACCCUUCAUUAAAAGAAAGACUCCACCACCCGAUGUCUGCUAUUAAAUUUCAACUAAUCAGUCCUAACUCAACUCUGCCACUGACUCUCUUCGUGGGUGAAAAUUAGUAUCUAAUUUUUGGUAGCUCACUGAGCAAUUUUUGGCAAAGUAACCACUCCAGCCACGCUCCCAUUUGCCUGCUGCCGUCCUGGUGGAAUGUUUCUCCAGUUUCACUGAUGUGUUCAUUAAUGUCAGUGUUCACGUUCGAUGGUGGUGACUGGAGAAGACGGAACAAGAACCAGGAAGAGAAAGAGGUGCUGACAGUGAUGGCACCGCUCAUAGGAGCAGCAGAAUAAUGCUGCAGUUUACCAGCUGGGGUUAGUAAUGUCCUCAUUUUCCCUCUCACUCUGAAUCUUUGCCCUGGAUAAGGGGGAGUUGAAUUUAGCUUUAAGAAGGGAUUAGUAAGAAGAGAAUGUGAAUGUUGGUUUGACAGGUGGGGUGGGGGAGGCCACUAAAGCCCAGGGGCCAAUAGCCACGCUAGCUCUUGGUUUUCCUCCAUGUUCAAAACCCAGCGCUAGUAGGUUUCCAUUCUAAAAAAGUUUAUAACAAAAAGUGAGCCAUUUGAGUGUGAAUGUUACUAACAACAUGAUGGUGAGGAUAUUUGACUUAGAAUCUUAUCUUUUUUUUAAAGCUGAGGCUGUGUUUAAAAUUUCAUUGGUGAUUUCCUUUUAUUUACCCAUUAGAAUUAUUGAGAAUUUUUAAUAAAACUACAAAUGACAGAAAGCUGACCUGGAGGUGUAUGUUGUCUAAAGUGUGUUUAUUGAUUCAAAGUGUAAGAGAGCAAAUAGAAUUAAAAUUACUUGAUUUAUAAGUCACAGUUAGUAUUACUACUGUAAUAUAUAGGAUGGAUAAACAAGUUCCUACUGCAUAGCACAGGGACCUAUACUCAAGAUCCUGUGAUAAACCAUAAUGGAAAAGAAUAUGAAAAAGAAUAUAUAUAUAUAUACAUAUGUAUAAUGGAAUCUCUUUGCUGUACUGCAGAAAUUAACACAGCAUUGUUAUUUGUAAAUCAACUAUACUUCAAUAAAACAGAGGACUGCAUGCAU